GAUUGGAGAACCUUGGCACUGGGAGAAUUCACAGUUUAAUUGUAAAGUAUCUGUGGAUCCUUUGGUGCCAUCGUUUGACAAUU
rnacentral:pre_miRNA from 1 species